rnacentral:lncRNA from 1 species
CAACCGACAAAACCUACACCAAUAUAUAUAUAUAUAUAUAUAUAUAGAACUAGGCUGGAAUACUAUUGAUAGCAAAAGAUUCUUUUUGCUAUCAAAUUUUUAACUCUUGGAUGAAAAAUUAUAAGGUUAGGAUGAUAUUAGUCUUUUAGUGUUGAGUGGUCCCCCAAGAGUUGAGUGGUCUGGGUUAUAAUAUUUAAUCCAAUAAUUAGAAAUAAUAAAAAUAAUUAAUCAAAAGGUUAAAAAUUUGAUAGCAAAAUUUUUUUUUUUACUAUCAUUAGUAUUUUAGCCCAACUCUAUAUAUAUAUAUAUAUG